rnacentral:rRNA from 1 species
UACGUAGGGUGCAAUCGUUGUCCGGAAUUAUUGGGCGUAAAGAGCUCGUCGGCGGUCUGUCGCGUCGGAUGUGAAAAUCCAGGGCUCAACCCUGGACCUGCAUUCGAUACGGGCAGACUAGAGUUCGGCAGGGGAGACUGGAAUUCCUGGUGUAGCGGUGAAAUGCGCAGAUAUCAGGAGGAACACCGGUGGCGAAGGCGGGUCUCUGGGCCGAAACUGACGCUGAGGAGCGAAAGCGUGGGGAGCAAACAGG